rnacentral:sRNA from 1 species
UCCUCUGUCACGAUUUACCCAAUUCACAA